rnacentral:rRNA from 1 species
UGGGGAAUAUUGCACAAUGGAGGGAACUCUGAUGCAGCGACGCCGCGUGAGUGAUGAAGGAAUUCGUUUCGUAAAACUCUUUUCUAUGGGAAGAAAAGGACUGUACCAUAGGAGAAAGUUCCGGCUAAAUACGUGCCAGCAGCCGCGUUAAUACGUAUGGAGCGAGCGUUGUCCGGAAUUAUUGGGCGUAAAGGGUGCGCAGGCGGCUUUACAAGUUGGAUGUGAAAUAUUGUGGCUCAACCACAAACGUGCAUCCAAAACUGCAAAGCUUGAGUUAAGGAGAGGUAAGUGGAAUUCCUGGUGUAGCGGUGGAAUGCGUAGAUAUCAGGAGGAAUACCGGUGGCGAAGGCGACUUACUGGACUUAAACUGACGCUCAGGCACGAAAGCGUGGGGAGCAAACAGG